AUAUUAGAGAAGGAUGGACAAUGAACUCUAAGUUUGCACAAACCUAAAAUUCCUAAAUCGCAGAUCUUCCACUUUUGCAAUACCUGUGAUGAGGGGCAAGACGAAGUAAAUUUGAAAUAAUUCCAAAACAGAAUCUUAACAGCACCAGGGGACUCCUGGCACCAAAAUCUACAACGAGCAGUGGCAAUAUUGGUAGUUAGAACAUUCCUUUAGCCAAUGAUGAAUAUGUAUACUUGGUCACCUAUCGCGAUCAUACUGUGCUGCCUUUUAUCAGACAUGCAGAUAAUGAAGCCAUCUACUUAUUUCAUGGUUUUUCAGACCAAAAAAAAAAAAAGCAGCAUUUAAAGAAACCAUAAUCUGUCAGAACUUUUCAACAUAUUAAAUUGUUCAAACCAAUGACCAAUUCUAAUCAAGAAUACAAAGAAAUGUAAUGACUUACAAUGACAAUUAAGAAUUGUGUAACACUGUUAACUAAGAAAACAAUGGAACAGGUCUUGGGAAAUACACACGUAGGGUCUAUUACAAUUUAAUGCAUUCUCCUGCAUUCAAUUGUGAAACAUCCUCUUUGGCCCAAUGUAUUGGGUCACAGUAAUAGAUUAAUUCUAUUAUUAAAUGGAUCUCAUUGCUGUGGUGAGAUGUAUUUCAAAAUCGCUGUUCUCAACACAGAACUCAAACCAAAUUGCAGCUGAAUUAGAAUUUCCUUGAUACAAAAAGAACACUUAUGUAAGUAAAGGAUUUUUUUUAUUUGUGUGAGUUGUUAGGGUUGAAUUAUUCUUAUAGGGUUAAGAGGAUGAGGGGACAUUGGGGAAACAUUAGGGUGACUUGAGAUUACAAAGGUUUACAGGGAUAUUCACUGAAGUGAGAAUUGUCAACAAUUAAAAUUCAGUUUAAAAUGGAACGUAAAACCAGGCAAACUACAAGCAUAAUUGCCUAGAAAUUUGUCUUAUUUUACCUUAAAUUUGAAAUGUAACAUGAAUUCACUUUAAAUUUCCAACCAUUCCCACUUUAGCUAAUCACCCUAUUUCAUGUACAAAUAUCUUGGUCUGUAUCAGGGGGGAUUGGAACAUCUGAAUGAAGGCAAUUUGUUGUUUUUGUGUGUGAAUAGUCUAAUCUGUGACAUCACAUAACGAUUUGUCCAAUUUAAACAGACAACGGAACUGCUGUGACAUGGAAGAGCAAACUUGGAUGAAGCCGUGUUUGUCUUGUGUAAAUAACUAAAAUGUUUUAAAACAGUCAAACUGUGUCAACCGAACACCUUUUGGUUGCUGCUUAGCGUUUAGUGAAUAGAC